rnacentral:rRNA from 1 species
UACGGAGGAGGCAAGCGUUAUCCGGAAUUAUUGGGCGUAAAGCGUCCGUAGGUGGCACUUCAAGUCUGUCGUCAAAGACUGGGGCUUAACCCUGGAAAGGCGGUGGAAACUGAAGCGCUAGAGUGCGGUAGGGGUAGAGGGAAUUCCCGGUGUAGCGGUGAAAUGCGUAGAGAUCGGGAAGAACAUCGGUGGCGAAAGCGCUCUACUGGACCGCAACUGACACUCAGGGACGAAAGCUAGGGGAGCGAAUGGG